UAUUCAGUUAAAUGUCCAACUCUGCAUUUUCCCACUAUAGACAUCAGUAGCUAAAUAGCAGCAUAAUUUUUCAUUCAGUAUUUCUGAAUUUCUGUAUUUUCUGAGCUGUAUUUAAACACAACACUAAUAUCGGAGUACAAACUGGAGAUUUAAUUGAACAAAAGAAAUAUUAUGACUAGUCUAACUAGCAGCAUCUGGCCUUUAAAAAUCAUCAGUAGCUCCUCAGUGGUGGCAAUAGGAAAAAUAAUAACUGUUAUAAUAGUUUAGAGGUGCUUUAAUUUUCAGCUUUAAAAUAAAUUUGAGUUUGACAAUAUCUCUGAAAAUUGUCUCAGUUCCCAAUGUUACAAAUAUUACUGCUGCUGCUGUUGAGCAGAAAUGCUUAGCAGAGUGUUUUUGUAGCAGCUAAACUGGAUGGUGAUUUCCCAUUGUAGAUUCUCAGCUGUGAAACAGGAGAGAGGUAUAGAGAAAAGCUGUCCAACUUGAUCUGCAGUUAAUACCCAGGAACUAGUUCCUUACUGAGCAGUUGUAGGGUAGAAAAUGCAGGACUUUAUAUUGCUAUUUUGCAAAACUUCCUACAAACACUCUCUCUCAAAACAAACAAAACAAUAUUUUCCUAGGAUCCACUUUUACAAACUAGAGAAUAGGGCCUAAAAUACAAAGUACUUUCUGUCUGUAAUAUCGCUUAAAAUCCUUGUAGAAUACUACACUUUUAUUAUACAUUAACGUUGGCAACAGCAGCUGGAUACACACGUAGCAACGUGCACAAAAGGAAAUUAAUUAGGAGCAGGUAAAGACUUCUGUUUCGGAGAUUUCAAUGCUAAGACAUAAACUGUGCUUUAGCAACUGUACGUAUGUGUUCUUCAGAUUUCCCAAGGAAAUGGGACGGGGUGUGAGUGCUCACAGCCCCGUAUCCCCCGCACGAGGGGCCGGAGCGCGAUUGCCUGUGCCGGGCAGGAGCCCGCAAAACUGAAAGCAGGUAGAGGCACUUCCUGCAGGGAGAAUUAAAGAGAGAGAAAGGGAGUUGUCCUCUGAUCUCCCUCAAAAACCAAUCAGGCCAGAUUAGCCAGGCGUUGAUUCUCCCUCCGUCCCUCCUACACCUUUUUCAGAGGCCCAAUGGCCUUGUUCCUUUGGGAGAUUGACUAGAGUCACAUGAGCUGCACCAGGGGCAGGUAACUCAGGAGAGGGGAAGGGGGAAGGAAAAAAAAAAAAAAACACAGAGGCAAAAAAAAAAAUCACCAAGCCUAGGCUGAGCUUCUGCCAUGAUGUCAGAGGGAGAGAAACCCACAGCUUGCUAAUUUCACCUCCCAAUCAGCCCCGGGAAGGAGAGCACCGGGAACAGUUGUUUCCCCCUGUGGUCAUGACGGCUUCGCACAGUGACUCUUUGGUGGUGUUGUUUGGGGCAACAGCUGGUGCAUAUGGGGCUAAACUGGGUUCGGAUGAGAGGGAACUAAUUCUCUUGGUGUGGCAAGUUGUGGAUCUACACAGCAAGAAGGUAGGGACACUACACAAAUCCCUGGUGAAAGCAGACAACUUGGACUUAAGUGACCAGUGUCGCGAAGUCAGUGCCUUAACACCAGAGGGACUGAGCAAAGCUGAACCACUGGACCGGGUUCUUCAACAGUUUAGUCAACUGGUAUCCGGUGAUUUGAAAGUACUUGGAAGGAGCUCUUACACACUCUGCAGUGAUGGCCAGUUACUCAUUCGGCAAGUCCUCCACCCAGAAACAUCCAAAAAGAACUUCCCGCUGUCAGACUGCUUCUAUUCCUUUUAUGAUCUGCGCAAAGAAUUUCACACUUGCUACCCUAGUUCAGCUGCCGUGAAAGAUCAGACUAUCAAGACCAUGGCAGAAUAUCUAGGCUUAGGGACAGAUGAAGCGGAGGAGGACUUUGGCGUGUGGCAAGUGAAAACCAUGGUGGCUAUCAUUUUCAGCAUGCUCUCUGAAGGUUGUAAUCACGUGUUUACUGAGCCUGAAACUGUGAAAUCCAAGUAUGAAACAGGCCCUUGUAGUAAAUCUGAAACUGUGGACAGUGAGACAGUAAUACGUGCCAGAGGUUUGCCAUGGCAGUCUUCAGACCAAGAUAUUGCUCGGUUUUUCAAAGGACUCAAUAUUGCCAAAGGUGGUGUGGCUCUUUGUCUAAAUUCUCAAGGAAGAAGAAAUGGGGAGGCAUUAGUUCGAUUUGUCAAUUCUGAACAGAGAGACCUGGCACUGGAAAGACAUAAGCAUCACAUGGGCAGCAGAUACAUUGAGGUUUACAAAGCAACUGGGGAGGAAUUCUUAAAAAUUGCAGGAGGCACCUCCAAUGAAGUGGCCCAGUUCUUAUCCAAGGAGAAUCAAGUUAUCAUCCGGAUGAGAGGCCUUCCAUUCACUGCUACGCACGAGGAUGUCUUGGGGUUCCUGGGGCCAGAGUGCCCAGUCACAGGAGGGAAAGAGGGACUUCUCUUUGUCAAGUACCCAGAUGGCAGACCCACAGGAGAUGCAUUUGUGUUAUUUUCCUGUGAAGAAUAUGCACAAAAUGCACUUAAAAAGCACAAAGAAAUACUUGGGAAACGUUACAUAGAACUCUUCAGGAGCACAGCAGCAGAAGUCCAACAGGUACUUAAUCGAUACAUGUCAACGCCUCUUAUCCCAACUCUCCCAACUCCCAUCAUUCCAGUCAUACCCCCACCCUACACCAUUGCCACGGGCAGCAUGCGUGACUGUGUCCGACUCAGAGGUCUUCCUUACACUGCUGGCAUUGAUGACAUCUUGGAAUUUAUGGGAGACGCCACAGGGGAUAUCAAGCCCCAUGGAGUUCACAUGGUCCUUAAUCAACAGGGACGACCAUCAGGUGAUGCUUUUAUCCAAAUGAAAUCUGCUGAUAAAGCCUUUAUGGUGGCUCAAAAAUGUCACAAAAAAAUGAUGAAGGACCGUUAUGUGGAAGUAUUCCAGUGUUCAGGAGAGGAGAUGAACUUUGUUUUAAUGGGUGGCACUUUAAAUCGUAGUGGCUUAUCCCCACCGCCAUGUAAGUUACCAUGUCUCUCUCCACCAGCUUAUGCUGCUUUCCAGACAGCAGCUGUCAUUCCAGCAGAGGCAGCACUGUACCAGCCACAAGCCCUGUUGCCAACCACCAGGACUCCCCAGGCCUCUGCAGCUGCUCCUCCAACUGUUACCUACUACCCAGCUCAGGCUGCUCAGCUUUAUAUGAAUUACACAGCUUACUAUCCCAGUCCUCCAGUAUCUCCUACAACAGUGGGGUACAUUGCAGCUCCUCCAGGAGCUGUAGCUGCUGCUGCCACUGCCACCCACACUCCGAUUCUGCCCCAGCCUGGAGCAUUGGUCCGUAUGCAGGGCUUGCCAUACAACACAGGAAUGAAGGAGAUACUCAGUUUCUUCCAGGGAUACCAGUGUUGCCUGUGUGGAGAAACCAUCUACGAGACUGGAACUAGUAAAUUAGUGGUUCCGGUUUCUGUCUGUCUGCCUCCCGUGCUUGAAGCAAGACUAAAGUGGCACCACCUUGAAGCCACAUUGUUGGGAACAGGCAUUCCUGGAUACAGAGACAGGCAGUCUCUGAUACACAAACCAUUCCAGUGGUGUCUCUUCCUCAGAGAAGCCAUGUGGUUGCUGGGCUGAGCCUAAGCUCUGACAACCUUGACUUUCUGUGCAGGAUAGUUUUCCCACUUUUGUGUUUUUGACAUUGUUUAUUGCAUUUCAAGUGUAACCUUUGAAAUACUGUCCCUCACAAGAACCAGUAGAUCUUUGCCUACUGUACAUCUACUGAUAAUCUAAAGUAUGUACUAUCUUGAGACAUUCUUUCCAUAGAGUAAACUUACAUUUUGUAGAUUCGUUUAAAGGGCAGGUCUGGGAACUGAUAAAUCUAAUAUUUGCACGGUCUGGUUGCCCUGGCAGAGACUAUCUAGAAAAUACUUCUUAUAUUUGUCUUUUACUUAAUGGCAUGGGUCUAGAUGUGAAGGUGACUAGAAUUCAGUAGUAAAAAUUCUGGGAGGUUCUUUCCUUUUAUGUUCUCUGGGCUCCUGGUUAUUGUUCUCUCUGAAAGGUGUAUACUGACUGUUUAUUUCUUUUCGACUUCCCUUUGGAUGGAUACAAUGUGUCCUGUAUGCCCAAAUAUAACACCUUUUUCUCCCUAAGCUGGCAGGAGACUUUUUGUAUUAUAGAAAUAUCAAAGGAAGGCAGCAUAUUGUGUGCAUUUGGCAAUCAUCUAAAAUGUUAAUACAAAACAGCCAUUUUCAGGGCAGAAAACCCUUCUUGCCACCAAAAAGGAUAUUCUAUAAUUUGCAUUAUGCUACACGCUUUGUCUUCUGGAUUAUAGGAGCCCCUCGAGUACUCUGCAGCAUGUGCAAGAAUUCUCAGUCCUUUUCCAGGAUAUGUAAUUUAGCAAGAUUAUGAGAUAAAAACAAUGUUUCAUAUUCCCCAAGAUGUAUUUUCUGACUACAUGUUUUAUAUUUGUACCAGACCAGGUAAUUCAUAGAUCUGACACAUAAAUGAAGCUUUUGUUUUAAUUUGUUGGUGUGACUGUACUGUAUAGUCACUAUUUUUAUUUUAAUGUACUACCUCUACAAAUCUAUCUUGAUGCAGUUACACUGUAUCAUUUAUUUCUUUUUUCUAUGUAGAAAUAUACUAUACUGGGAUAAAUUUUAUCUCGUAGGUGCAUUCAUGCCAGGACACUGAUUUUCUUUAAUGGCAUUGGUGUAGUCUAUGUAGUGCAAGCGUUGUAUGUAGUUAAAGUGUUUAUCACUCUACCCUAGAGAAGUUGCAGUUUAUUUCUAUGGGUGCAUAAAAGAUCUAAACGAGAUGCAUGCACUUCUACCAAUCUGCACUUCAGUUGGAAGAUGCUCAUCUGUCCCAGUGAGAGCCAUUACUGGAGGUGUGAUUAUGCUCAUGCAAACUUGAAGAGUUUGGUUACCUGAUGCUGCCAUCUCAUGAGUAGAAUGAAAAAAAAAAAAAAGGAGCACUUCAUAAUCUGAGCUAUUCCCCUUUCUCGAUAAGGAACAGUUCAAAUACAGUUCAGAAUUUCCUCCCCCAAGCAUUUGUUUUAUAUCUAUUCCUAUGACCAGUAAUACAGUUGAUGUGUAUUUUUUUUAAUCUUACAUAAAAAUAGCAUGUCAAAUUCACUGUCUCCUGCCAGUUAUUAUAGCUGAUGCUCUUAAUGAAGGUUGCAAAUGAUCAUCUGUGUGGCUUGCUGUACCAGGACUGUUCCUUCUCUUGCUGAUUAUCACAUAUCACACUUGUACUGUAGUAUGCACCCGAUGACUACAAUGGCCUUAUUCAGCUGAGCGAUCAAGCCAGGAGUGUGUUACAAGCACCGAAAGAGUGGGUCUGUUUGUAACUCUUUGUAACUUCUGAAGAAGCUCCAAGCAGAUUCCAUCCUCAUGCUUUACAACUUUAGUGGCCAGCCCAGUGGCGAGGCAUUGGUGACUUUUCCAAGCCUGGAUCUAGCUAAGAAAGCAGUGGCUGAGAAGAAUGGACAGCUCCUGGGAAGCCGCUAUGUAGAAUUGUACCUGGUCUAACUAAACACUCUUUGGGGGAUGAGGAGAGAAUGUCGCACUCAACACCGUGCCUUUUGCAAAAUCAGAAGUCUUCCCUUGCCACCCAGGCAGCAACAAAUGUGCCUUUUCAGCAUAACAAGUUGGAAUGCAGAGUGGUAAAUGUCCUGUACUUAAUUUGAAAAACGGUGCAUCCUAUGCCAAAGAUAAAGUGAAAGCAAAAUUUAUGCAGUUAAUUUACUUAAUUUCUAAUAUACUUGUGUAAAAAUAAGUAAACCAUUCCUGGCAUCUAGUUAAUUCUGAAGACAGUCUAAUAGCACUUCAGCUAUUGCAGCAUUGGGAGAAACUUAGUAGCAUUUGAAGUAGAAAGCGAAGCUUGAGUCAUUCAGAUUCUUCUAUGUUUAGUUUUUAAGAGUUUACACUGAACAAAGUGUCUCGUUUUUUGUAGAGUUUAAGUGUCUUUAGAAAGGUCUUUUGGAAUGCAUGGCUUACCCAGUUCAAAGCGUAGAUCAUAUUGAUUUUUGUUUUGUAUUGUUCUCAACUGGAAAAUAUCAGGAUGCCGGACUCCAAAUCCAAUUGUGCUUUUUCAUGUUUUCAUUAGACCUUGUUUUGCAAAAGCCAUAUUUGUCUUUCUUACCAGUGUACUGCUGCCAACAUGUAAAGCAAAAAAAAUUAAACAAACAUCAAAAUCAGAAACUCUCCCUGCCUGCCCAUAACUUGCUGCCCCCUAGCCCCAAACUUUUAAUCUCUACAGGACAAAAAUGGCACAUAAACCUGAGUACUAAUAAGUUAUAUUUUUUUAUUUAAGCAUAAUAGCUUUCAGAUACUGUAUUGAAGAUUUUGCUCUAGUUUAUGUGCAUGCAAUUUGUUUACAUCUUUAAACUACUUUAUUUGUAUAUUAUGAAACAACAAGAUAUGUUGGAAUCUGAAUUCUCUAGUGCAUGCUUUUUUCUUUUUCCCUGUGUGUAUAUACAUAAGCUAGAAGUACUUUUACGUCAUGUAGCAUGUGUUUAAAAAAAGACAUCUGCUGUAGAAGCACUAAAUGACUUUGUUUUUACUGUGCCUUACUUCAAAACCAUUCCAAGUGCAAUACCAGCAGAGCAAAAUAUAACGAAUUCUGUUGUUGACAUGUUCAUGGAUGUCUGAAUUGAUCCUUUUUGUUAGUAUACAGUUUGAGUUGUACUUUAAAGAACUGAAUGAUGUAUGCUUCUUUAUAUUACAACAAAUAAAAGAGAUGCUUACUAUGUGCAUUGGCUUUUGAAAGUACCUUAAGCUUUGGUUUAAUGUAUGCUUUGGUUUGAUGUAUUUUCACAGAACAUCAUUAUUUGAUAAAUAACCUCAUACACAUUUUUCUCUUUUAGAGUUAGAUAAGCAUUUGUAUUUUGAGUGAGUGGUGUGACUUUUGUUUUGUUUUGUUUUUUCCUUUUUGCAUGUGCUGGUAAGCCAGAAAUAUGCAUGAGGCAUGUUUCUUUUGUAGUGGAACACUUUUUAGGCAAGGGUGAUGUAACUGU